rnacentral:rRNA from 1 species
CCAAUAGCGUAUAUUAAAGUUGUUGCAGUUAAAAAGCUCGUAGUUGAAUUUCGGGAUCAAUACGUCGGUCGUGCUUAGGUACGUACUGGCGUAGUUGAUUUCUCCCUUCUGACGAACCAUGAUGUCAUUAACUUGGUGUCAUGGGAAAUCAGGACUGUUACUUUGAAAAAAUUAGAGUGUUUAAAGCAGGCUCACGCUUGAAUACAUUAGCAUGGAAUAAUGAAAUAGGACGUUCGAUCCUAUUUUGUUGGUUUUUAGGAUCAACGUAAUGAUUAAUAGGGAUAGUUGGGGGCAUUAGUAUUCAAUUGUCAGAGGUGAAAUUCUUGGAUUUAUUGAAGACUAACUACUGCGAAAGCAUUUGCCAAGGAUGUUUUCAUUAAUCAAGAACGAAAGUUAGGGGAUCGAAGACGAUCAGAUACCGUCGUAGUCUUAACCAUAAACUAUGCCGACUAGGGAUCGGAUGAUGUUAAUUUUUUAAUGACUCAUUCGGCGCCUUACG